UUUAUAAAUAAACACACACACACAGAACCCUGAAUGUAUAUAAAAUAACCUGCUUUUACUUAGUUAAAAUUGUUAGACAAACUGCUUAAUUAGUUUGUUCACC